GAUGAACGCUGGCGGCGUGCCUAAUACAUGCCAGUCGAGCGAACAGACGAGGAGCUUGCUCCUCUGACGUUAGCGGCGGACGGGUGAGUAACACGUGGAUAACCUACCUAUAAGACUGGGAUAACUUCGGGAAACCGGAGCUAAUACCGGAUAACAUGUUGAACCGCAUGGUUCAACAGUGAAAGACGGUCUUGCUGUCACUUAUAGAUGGAUCCGCGCCGCAUUAGCUAGUUGGUAAGGUAACGGCUUACCAAGGCAACGAUGCGUAGCCGACCUGAGAGGGUGAUCGGCCACACUGGAACUGAGACACGGUCCAGACUCCUACGGGAGGCAGCAGUAGGGAAUCUUCCGCAAUGGGCGAAAUCCUGACGGAGCAACGCCGCGUGAGUGAAGAAGGUCUUCGGAUCGUAAAACUCUGUUAUUAGGGAAGAACAAAUGUGUAAGUAACUAUGCACGUCUUGACGGUACCUAAUCAGAAAGCCACGGCUAACUACGUG
rnacentral:rRNA from 1 species